GAUGAACGCUGGCGGCGUGCCUAAUACAUGCAAGUCGAGCGAACAGACGAGGAGCUUGCUCCUCUGACGUUAGCGGCGGACGGGUGAGUAACACGUGGAUAACCUACCUAUAAGACUGGGAUAACUUCGGGAAACCGGAGCUAAUACCGGAUAAUAUAUUGAACCGCAUGGUUCAAUAGUGAAAGACGGUUUUGCUGUCACUUAUAGAUGGAUCCGCGCCGCAUUAGCUAGUUGGUAAGGUAACGGCUUACCAAGGCAACGAUGCGUAGCCGACCUGAGAGGGUGAUAGGCCACACUGGAACUGAGACACGGUCCAGACUCCUACGGUAGGCAGCAGUAGGGAAUCUUCCGCAAUGGGAGAAAGCCUGACGGAGCAACGCCGCGUGAGUGAUGAAGGUCUUCGGAUCGUAAAACUCUGUUAUUAGGGAAGAACAAAUGUGUAAGUAACUAUGCACGUCUUGACGGUACCUAAUCAGAAAGCCACGGCUAACUACGUG
rnacentral:rRNA from 1 species